CCUACGGGUGGCAGCAGUGAGGAAUAUUGGUCAAUGGGCGCUAGCCUGAACCAGCCAAGUAGCGUGAAUGAUGACUGCCCUAUGGGUUGUAAACUUCUUUUAUAUGGGAAUAAAGUGCAGUAUUUAUACUGCUUUGCAUGUACCUUAUGAAUAAGAAUCGGCUCACUCCGUGCCAGCAGCCGCGGUAAUGCGGAGGAUCCGAGCGUUAUCCGGAUUUGUUGGGUUUAAAGGGUGCCUAGGGGGAAGGUUAAGUCAGCGGUAAAAUGUCGGUGCGAAGCACCGGCCUGCAGUUGAUACUGGUCUUCUUGAGUGAGCGAGAGGUAGGCGGAAUGCGUGGUGUAGCGGUGAAAUGCAUAGAGAUCACUAAGAACUCCGAUUGCGAAGGCAGCACACCGGAGCUCAACUGACGCUGAGGCACGAAAGCGUGGGGAUCGAACAGGAUUAGAUACCCGUGUAGUC
rnacentral:rRNA from 1 species